GCACUGGUGGUUCAAUGGUAAAACUCUCACCUUCCAUGUGGGAGGCCCAGGUUCGAUUCCUGAUCCAUGCA
rnacentral:tRNA from 1 species